rnacentral:rRNA from 1 species
GACGAACGCUGGCGGCGUGCUUAACACAUGCAAGUCGAACGAAGUGGCGAACGGGUGAGUAACGCGUAAUCAACCUGCCCUUCAUAGGGGGACAACAGUUGGAAACGACUGCUAAUACCGCAUACUGAAGGAGGGGAUUGCGUCUGAUUAGCUAGUUGGAUGGGUAACGGCCCACCAAGGCGAUGAUCAGUAGCCGGUCUUAGAGGAUUGACGACCACAUUGGGACUGGGACACGGCCCAGACUCCUACAGGGAGCAGCAGUGGGUGAUCUUCCGAAAUGGACGAAAAUCUGACGGAGCAACGCCGCGUGAGUGAUGACGGCCUUCGGGUUGUAAAACUCUGUUAAUCGGGACGCGGUACCGGAAUAGAAAGCCACGGCUAACUACGUGCCAGCAGCCGCGGUAAUUC